rnacentral:lncRNA from 1 species
CCUUGUUCGAGACAGACGCCUGGCUAACUUAGAUCUAUAAACUCAAUUUUAGGAAGUCAAGUAUCUUCCCGAAAGUCACACAAGUAAAGAUGGACUUGGGUCUCUAAUCCAUUUGUUUGACUUCAAAACAUGUUAUCUCCAUUCCACUACCUCUUCUGUUCAGUGGAAUGAAAGAGGUUAAAACAGUUCACAGGGUCCAUGGAGUGAAUGAAAAAUGAAAAUGGGAAGAUAAAAUACAGAUUAUAGUUUUCAAGGAUUGGAGCUGGAAGGAGUUGCCUGUUUGAGAGCUGUGUUAAGGUCUGAGAAACAUGUGCAUGUUGUGCACUGCAAGAAAGGAAUCAAGAG